rnacentral:ncRNA from 1 species
ACACGCCGAUCUGGAGAGAGGCCGCGAUGCGGCCCACCGAAGGGGCAAGCGGCCGCUGUCGCGACAGCGCGCCGCCCAAACUCUCAGGUAAAAGGACAGCGGGAGCG